CCUACGGGAGGCAGCAGUGGGGGAUAUUGCACAAUGGGGGAAACCCUGAUGGUGCGACGCCGCGUGGGGGAAUGAAGGUCUUCGGAUUGUAAACCCCUGUCAUGUGGGAGCAAAUUAAAAAGAUAGUACCACAAGAGGAAGAGACGGCUAACUCUGUGCCAGCAGCCGCGGUAAUACAGAGGUCUCAAGCGUUGUUCGGAAUCACUGGGCGUAAAGCGUGCGUAGGCUGUUUCGUAAGUCGUGUGUGAAAGGCGCGGGCUCAACCCGCGGACGGCACAUGAUACUGCGAGACUAGAGUAAGGGAGGGGGAACCGGAAUUCUCGGUGUAGCAGUGAAAUGCGUAGAUAUCGAGAGGAACACUCGUGGCGAAGGCGGGUUCCUGGACAUUAACUGACGCUGAGGCACGAAGGCCAGGGGAGCGAAAGGGAUUAGAUACCCUAGUAGUC
rnacentral:rRNA from 1 species